GAUGAACGCUGGCGGCGUGCCUAAUACAUGCAAGUCGAGCGAACAGACGAGGAGCUUGCUCCUCUGACGUUAGCGGCGGACGGGUGAGUAACACGUGGAUAACCUACCUAUAAGACUGGGAUAACUUCGGGAAACCGGAGCUAAUACCGGAUAAUAUAUUGAACCGCAUGGUUCAAUAGUGAAAGACGGUUUUGCUGUCACUUAUAGAUGGAUCCGCGCCGCAUUAGCUAGUUGGUAAGGUAACGGCUUACCAAGGCGACGAUGCGUAGCCGACCUGAGAGGGGGAACGGCCACACUGGAACUGAGACACGGUCCAGACUCCUACGGGAGGCAGCAGUAGGGAAUCUUCCGCAAGGGGAGAAAGCCUGACGGAGCAACGCCGGGUGAGUGAAGAAGGUCUUCGGAAUGUAAAACGCUGUUAUUAGGGAAGAAAAAAUGUGAAAGUAACUAUGCACGUCUUGACGGUACCUAAUCAGAAAGCCACGGCUAACUACGU
rnacentral:rRNA from 1 species